UACGUAGGGAGCAAGCGUUGUCCGGAUUCACUGGGUGUAAAGGGUGCGCAGGCGGGUUGGCAAGUCAGAGGUGAAAUCUCACAGCUUAACUGUGAAACUGCCUUUGAUACUUCCAAUCUUGAGUUAAAGAGAGGUUGAUGGAAUUUCAGGUGUAGCGGUGAAAUGCGUAGAUAUCUGAAAGAACACCAGUGGCGAAGGCGGUCAACUGGCUUUUAACUGACGCUCAGGCACGAAAGCGUGGGUAGCGAACAGGAUUAGAUACCCUGGUAGUCCACGCCCUAAACGAUGAAUACUUGGUGUUGGACCGUAAGGUUCAGUGCCGUAGGUAACCUGUUAAGUAUUCCACCUGGGGAGUACGCCCGCAAGGGUGAA
rnacentral:rRNA from 1 species